AACGAACGCUGGCGGCGUGCUUAACACAUGCAAGUCGAACGAUGCAGCCUAGCUUGCUAGGUGGAUUAGUGGUGAACGGGUGGGAAAUACGCGGGUAACCUACCUUUCUCUCUGGGAUAAGUCCGAGAACCGGGGACUAUUACCGGAUACGACCAAUCUCCGCAUGGGGUGGUGGUGGAAAGCGUUAUGUAGUGGUUAUAGUUGGGCUCACGGCCUAUCAGCUUGUUGGUCUGGUCACGGCUCACCAAGGCGACGACGGGUAGCCGGCCUGAGAGGGUGACCGGCCACACUGGGACUGAGACACGGCCCAGACUCGUACGGGAGGCAGCGGAGGGGAGUAGUGCACAAUGGGCGCAAGCCUGGUGCAGCGACGCCGCGUGGGGGAUGACGGCCAGCGGGUUGUAAACCUCUGUUAGCAGGGAAGAAGAGAGAUUGACGGUACCGGCAGAGAAAGCGCCGGCUAACUACGUG
rnacentral:rRNA from 1 species